rnacentral:rRNA from 1 species
CCUACGGGUGGCUGCAGUGGGGGAUAUUGCACAAUGGCGGGAACCCUGAUGCAGCGACGCCGCGUGGGUGAAGAAGGGCCUCGGCGCGUAAAGCCCUGUCAGCAGGGAAGAAAAUGACGGUACCUGAAGCUGAAGCCCCGGCGAACUACGUGCCAGCAGCCGCGGUAAUACGUAGGGGGCAAGCGUUAUCCGGAUUUACUGGGUGUAAAGGGGUCGCAGACGGCGAUGCAAGCCAGGAGUGAAAGCCCGGGGCCCAACCCCGGGACUGCUGUUGGAACUGCGUGGCUGGAGUGCGGGAGGGGCAGGCGGAAUGCGUGGUGGAGCGGUGAAAUGCGUAGAUAGCAGGAGGAACACCGGUGGCGAAGGCGGCCUGCUGGACUGCAACUGACGCUGAGGCCCGAAAGCGUGGGGAGCAAACAGGAUUAGAUACCCGGGUAGUC